CAGUCGCCACGGGAAUACGUAGGGUGCGAGCGUUAAUCGGAAUUACUGGGCGUAAAGCGUGCGCAGGCGGUUCGUUAAGACAGAUGUGAAAUCCCCGGGCUCAACCUGGGAACUGCAUUUGAGACUGUAUGGCUAGAGUGUGUCAGAGGGGGGUAGAAUUCCACGUGUAGCAGUGGAAUGCGUAGGUAUGUGGAGGAAUACCGAUGGCGAAGGCAGCCCCCUGGGAUAACACUGACGCUCAUGCACGAAAGCGUGGGGAGCAAACAGGAUUAGAGACCCCAGUAGUCCCUGUCUCUUAUAC
rnacentral:rRNA from 1 species